AACUUAGCAGAGAUGCUUUGGUGCCUUCGGGAACUCUGAGACAAGUGCUGCAUGGCUGUCGUCAGCUCGUGUUGUGAAAUGUUGGGUUAAGUCCCGCAACGAGCGCAACCCUUAUCCUUUGUUGCCAGCGGCUCGGCCGGGAACUCAAAGGAGACUGCCGGUGAUAAACCGGAGGAAGGUGGGGAUGACGUCAAGUCAUCAUGGCCCUUACGGCCAGGGCUACACACGUGCUACAAUGGCGCAUACAAAGAGAAGCGACCUCGCGAGAGCAAGCGGACCUCACAAAGUGCGUCGUAGUCCGGAUUGGAGUCUGCAACUCGACUCCAUGAAGUCGGAAUCGCUAGUAAUCGUAGAUCAGAAUGCUACGGUGAAUACGUUCCCGGGCCUUGUACACACCGCCCGUCACACCAUGGGAGUGGGUUGCAAAAGAAGUAGGUAGCUUAACCUUCGGGAGGGCGCUUACCACUUUGUGAUUCAUGACUGGGGUGAAGUCGUAACAAGGUAAGCGUAGCGAG
rnacentral:rRNA from 1 species